rnacentral:tRNA from 1 species
AAGAGUAUAGUUUAACGGUAAAAUCGCUAUCUUCAAAAUAGCUUAUGUAUGUUCGAUUCAUGCUGCUCUUGACCA